rnacentral:rRNA from 1 species
UAGGGAAUCUUGGACAAUGGGCGAAAGCCUGAUCCAGCCAUGCCGCGUGAGUGAAGAAGGCCCUCGGGUUGUAAAGCUCUUUUUGCGGGGACGAUAAUGACGGUACCCGCAGAAUAAGCCCCGGCUAACUUCGAGCCAGCAGCCCCGGUAAUACGAAGGGGGCUUGCGUUGUUCGGAAUUACUGGGCGUAAAGCGCACGCAGGCGGAUUGGUAAGUUAGAGGUGAAAUCCCGGGGCUCAACCUCGGAAUUGCCCUUGAUACUGCCAGUCUUGAGUCCGGGAGAGGUGAGUGGAAUUCCUAGUGUAGAGGUGAAAUUCGUAGAUAUUAGGAAGAACACCAGUGGCGAAGGCGGCUCACUGGCCCGGAACUGACGCUCAUGUGCGAAAGCGUGGGGAGCAAACAGGAUUAGAUACGCCCGUAGUCC